CAAAAUCAGACUUAAGUUUGGGAAGGAGAAUAGUGUAGAAUAUUCUUAGUAAGGCAAAUCACAACUAAAAGUAAGCUCUAUUGCCCUAAGUGGAUCAAUGAGAAAGUCUUUUUAAAGAAAUACUUACCUAUCAACAGAAGAGAUCAAGGUAUAUUUUAUCUACUCCCCUUUGUAGAUUCUGCUGAUCCAAUCAUUUCCACACUUACAGCCUUUAAACAUCUCAUUUGCUCAAACUCCUUACAUGUGGUAGAUAGGCUGUUGCUUCAUCUGAGAAAUCAAAAUAAUGAAGAUAUUUAAAACUUAGCAAAAUUUCACUUAAUCUAGAACACUUGGGCAUUCAAACUCAGUAAAAAGGGCACCUUACAAGAAUAAGGGAGGUAGCAUGAGUUUUUCCAUUUUUUCCUUCAAUGUCAGUCCCUUUCUAUCCAGGCUGCUUCCCAUCCAUCACUAGAGGCAGCCUUUCGGCCACAGCCUUUGUCAUGCCCAGAAAGGCGCUGAAAUGUUAGUGACUGGAACGGCAUAGGGAACACAGUCUCCUGGGCUCCUUCUCCACGCUUUUCAGUGUCCUGUAGUUGUGCACAGAAUUUAGGUCAUCCCUAUAAUGUCUUGGUCUUCACUUUGUACCACCCCCUUUGACAAUCAGGUGCUAAUGAUUCUGUUGGAACCAGCAUGUAUUGUGUGAAUGUCUGUUCUGCCUAGGUUGGAAGAAGUUCUUUCCAUCUAUCUCAGUCCUGUUCAGGUGGGUGUCAGUUACAUUUUCUCACCUCUUAUUUUGUGAAUUAAUAGAAUUUAGAGGAAAAGAAGUGAUUUAAACUACAAGUUUGGGGUUUGGCACAGUCAUCAAUCUUGAUGACACUCUUCAUACUUUAAACCAAAUCUUCUCUAUCAUAAGAACCAAUUUCUGAUUGUUUUUCUCUAGUUUGGACUCCAGUGUUAUGUUUUAAAGUCUGGGUAACACUGUAACACUGAUGGGUUCAGUGUGAUAAGACUUGGGUACCCAAAGAAUCUGUUUCCUUUGUGGUAUCAGACCCAAGGUCUUUUAGAAACUAAUGUGGCAAAACACCACCUAUAAAGGCCUGUUUUGGCUGAUCUGUGCAAACUCUGAUUAUACUCUUUUGUAUGUAUUCUGUCCCGCACAACUCUCGUUUUUUUAAGUAUUAAGACCUAGAAAGCUAAGAUAACACUUCUACAAGGAGUUAAAAGUAUGUGAUAUUCUGGUUUUUCCUUCCUUUUGGAAUCCUGCAUUUCAACAAGACUUCUUUUUAAGUAUUGUUUAAAAUUUAGGUCUCAAGUCUUCUGGCAUUACCAGACUACCAAAUCAAAACCCAUGGUGUAAAACAGGGCAGUAUUUUUGUUCUUAAUAAUGAAAAAGCUUUAUGUGUACUCUGUAAGUAUAAUGCAUAGACAACACUUUCCCUUGAGUUGCACAUCAACAUAGAGCAUUGUACAUUACAAUGAAGUUUGUAACUUAAGGG
ensembl:lncRNA